UGGAAGACGACCACGUUGAUAGGCCGGAUGUGGAAGCACAGCAAUGUGUGUAGCUUACCGGUACUAAUCGUUCGAUUGGCUUGAUUGC
rnacentral:ncRNA from 1 species